GUAGGUGGCAAGCGUUGUCCGGAAUUAUUGGGCGUAAAGCGCGCGCAGGUGGUCUUUAAGUCUGAUGUGAAAGCCCCGGCUCAACCGGGGAGGGUCAUUGGAAACUGGGGAACUUGAGUGCAGGAGAGGAAAGUGGAAUUCCACGUGUAGCGGUGAAAUGCGUAGAUAUGUGGAGGAACACCAGUGGCGAAGGCGACUUUCUGGCCUGUAACUGACACUGAGGCGCGAAAGCGUGGGGAGCAAACAGGAUUAGAUACCCUGGUAGUCCACGCCGUAAACGAUGAGUGCUAAGUGUUGGGGGGUUUCCGCCCCUCAGUGCUGCAGCUAACGCAUUAAGCACUCCGCCUGGGGAGUACGGUCGCAAAGACUG
rnacentral:rRNA from 1 species